AAGAGAUGGAUUUCAAGAGCAUGCCUCUGUGU
rnacentral:piRNA from 1 species